rnacentral:rRNA from 1 species
UGGGGAAUUUUGGACAAUGGGCGAAAGCCUGAUCCAGCAAUGCCGCGUGUGUGAAGAAGGCCUUCGGGUUGUAAAGCACUUUUGUCCGGAAAGAAAUCCUUGGCUCUAAUACAGUCGGGGGAUGACGGUACCGGAAGAAUAAGCACCGGCUAACUACGUGCCAGCAGCCGCGGUAAUACGUAGGGUGCAAGCGUUAAUCGGAAUUACUGGGCGUAAAGCGUGCGCAGGCGGUUUGCUAAGACCGAUGUGAAAUCCCCGGGCUCAACCUGGGAACUGCAUUGGUGACUGGCAGGCUAGAGUAUGGCAGAGGGGGGUAGAAUUCCACGUGUAGCAGUGAAAUGCGUAGAGAUGUGGAGGAAUACCGAUGGCGAAGGCAGCCCCCUGGGCCAAUACUGACGCUCAUGCACGAAAGCGUGGGGAGCAAACAGGAUUAGAUACCCUGGUAGUCCACGUCCUAAACGAUGUCAACUAGUUGUUGGGGCAUUCAUUUUCCUUAGUAACGUAGCUAACGCGUGAAGUUGACCGCCUGGGGAGUACGGUCGCAAGAUUAAAACUCAAAGGAAUUGACGGGGUCAUAGCUGUUUCCU